UUUGCUUUGAUGGUGACAACUUUUGAAAUCAUUCAUAGUAAAACAUCUUGUACAUUUCCAGAGCCGUUAAGUCCAGAUUCAUUAAGCUCGUACAGGAUUGAAAAUGGACAUGCAAAACUGAAGUGGAGGGCACCACGAGGACAAGUUGAUGGUUACAGUGUGGUGCUGAAGAACUGCAUGGAGGAUGUGGUUGCCGAGGAGACCACCAUGUCAACACACCUGUCCAUAUCACUCGGCAACCAUAGGAUUUCAGCAGCUUAUUUUGUGGAGAUUCGUUCAUUGUCACAUGGGGAGAGAAGUGACCCGCUUACGGAGAUUUUACAAGUGGAAGAAUUAGUUCUGAUCAUUCAAGACUUGCAUGCCACAAUGCAGGACAGUAAGUCUGUGACAUUGGAGUGGAAACAUCCAGUUUAUGGUCCAGUUGACAGCUAUGAGGUACAGUGGGCGCUGCAAUAUUCUGACCAACUUAAUAUCAUUGCUGCAGACUCGGGCAGGACUUGGAUUACCAUCAAGGAUUUGACACCAGCGAAAACAUAUAUAUUCAGAGUGGCAUCAGUUUUACCAAGGGAGUGUGGACAGGAGAACAAAUUUUUAUCACAGGAAAUCUCUUUUACAUUGGCCCCUGCUAUGCCUGGUGAGGUUGAUAGAAUUGCAAGCACCAUCAAGUCAACAUCAUUUGACUUGAAAUGGAGAGCAUCUGGUGGAAGAGUUGACAAGUACAUUGUGAAGAUUUCGGAUUAUUCUACAUUCGGGGCUGAAUACCAGACUAAAGGUCCAUCUCCAUCUCUACGUAUAGAGAACCUAGAGGUAAACACUCGGUACAAGUUGGGUAUCUUCGCUGUCAGGGACAACAUCAAGAGUGAGCCUCGGACUGAGAAUUUGAAGACAAAAGAUGUUAAAGUAUACUGGGGAUGCAUGACGAAGGCAAUUCUGACAGGUGGCAUAGCUAUUGCUGGUGUGACUGCAUUCGCACCAUUCCUUGGUGCUGUUGGGUUUGGUGCAGCAGGUAUCGGUAAAGGCACGAUGGCCGCAUCAUGGAUGUCCUCUUUUGGGGGCACGGUAGCCUCAGGGGGAUUGUUCUCUACCCUACAGUCUCUUGGAGUUGUCGGUCUUGGAGCAUCUGCGAAGGCUGCAAUAAUAGCAUCCGGAAUGGCGUUGGGGUGUAUUGUGGAAGUGAUAUGAUGUAGCCUAAAUCACAAUGCUGGAUAAGUCAGGAGAUGCCCUGCUAUGCCUGGUGAGGUUGAUAGUAUUGCAAGUACCAUCAAGUCAACAUCAUUUGACUUGAAAUGGAGAGCAUCUGGUGGAAGAGUUGACAAGUACAUUGUGAAGAUUUCGGAUUAUUCUACAUUCGGGGCAGAAUACGAGACUGAAGGUCCAUCUCCAUCUCUACGUAUAGAGAACCUAGAGGUAAACACUCGGUACAAGUUGGCUAUCUUCGCUGUCAGGGACAACAUCAAGAGUGAGCCUCGGACUGAGAAUUUGAAGACAAAAGACGUUAAAGUACAUUGGGGAUGCAUGACGAAGGCAAUUCUGACAGGUGGCAUAGCUAUUGCUGGUGUGUCUGCAUUCGCACCAUUCCUUGGUGCUGUUGGGUUUGGUGCAGCAGGUAUCGGUAAAGGCACGAUGGCCGCAUCAUGGAUGUCCUCUUAUGGGGGUACGGUAGCCUCAGGGGGGUUGUUCUCUACCCUACAGUCUCUUGGAGUUGUCGGUCUUGGAGCAUCUGCGAAGGCUGCAAUAAUAGCUUCUGGAAUGGCGUUGGGGUGUAUUGUGGAAGUGAUAUGAUGUAGCCUAAAUCACAAUGCUGGAUAAGUCAGGAGAUGUUUGUAUAAUAUUGUUGUCCCAUUUACUUUUUGAAUUUGAAAGAAUAAGAUCGUCAUCUGUGUUACAUGUAUAAUAUUGAUGAAUUUUGAAGAAAUUUUACUAUUGAGUUAUUUUGAUUCUUUGUAUAAUUAAGUACGUUGUUGUUUAUGCUUUUACUUGGCUAAUUUCUUUGUACGAACAAAAAAUAAAGAUUUUUUAUGAUUGGCAACAAAUAAUACAUACAAGAUGUAGCAAAAUAAAUUCAAAAUCAUUUUUUUCUGGUUUUCUAUAUCGGGGAGUAACUGCCAUUGGUGCCAUGUUAUACGGACCUUUGGUUAGGAAUUUGUACCAGUCCUUGUAAAUCGUACAUGUACCAUUCACAAAAGAGGUAAUAUAAAGCCAUAUGUAAAGCUGCAGUAAUCGUAUCAAUAAUUUAGUAAAAAUUACUGCAAAAAUGCCUAUGUAUAGUGAUAAAAUCUCUUUUUAUAAUUGCCCUUGAUUUUAAAGCUUUCUAUUUCUUUCCAAUGUUUUAGGUAUUGUUCUUAAGGAGGCCACUUGCUAGAUUAUAUAUUUCUGUAUUCACAGACUAAUUCAGGAAUUUAUCGGGAUUUUAGUAUUUUAUAUAUAUAGUUAUCUUAAGUGUGAUCUUUAGCUCACCUGCCCGAAAGGCAAGUGAGCUUAUGCCGUGGUGCGGCGUCCGUUGCCAUCCGGCGUCAACUUUUCUAUUUAAACAUCUUCUUUUAAUAACCAAGAGGCCCAAAGACCUAAUAUUAGGCAUGUAAAAUGCUUGGAUGAAGGGCUACCAAUUGACCUUCAUUCAAGGUCACAAGGGUUAAAUAGGCUAAAAUCUUGAAAUGACGUCAUCUAAAUAGAGACUUGAUAUUGGUUCUGUGGACGAACCAAGUACCAAGUUUGAUCAAAUGAAUGACCUUGACUGACAUUCAAGGUCACAAUGGUCGAAUAGGCUGAAAUGUUUAAACAACUUCUCAACAACCACCCAGGGGAUUGAUAUUAGGUCUAUAGUAUGCUAUAAUGAAUUUCUACUAAGUUUGUUCAAAUUAAUGACCUUGACUGACAUGCAAGAUCACAGGGGAUGGACAGAUUGAAAUGUUUAAACGACUUAUUAUCAAUUACCAAUAGGUACAGGAAUUUGCUAUUGAUUCUGUAGCAUGCUGGGGUGAAGGGCUUCCAUGUUUAUUCAAAUGAAUGACCUUGAUCAUAAUUCAAUUUUGAAAGAGUUUGAUUAUCUAAAAUAUUUAAAAGACAUCUUUUCAAAUAAUUGUGAGACCUUGAGAUCGUAUAUCUGAUCUCUAAUAGAAGUGUUCUUAAUUAUGUUUAUGUAUAAAAGGAUCAUUGGAUGGCAAUUCGGGCCCAUUUGGUCCUUGUACAGUUAAUUGUCCACUUACCUGUAGAAUUCCCCAUACUCUUUUAUUGUUGCACAUUUAUAUAAGCUGCUUUUGAACGGGAUUUAUUGCAAAUAUCCAGUUUUUCUACAAAGUGGAAGAUGAGUGGAUAGAAACUCGGAUUUUGAAUAUUUAUGUCAUUUGUAGACAAAGUCCACAACUUUGGAUAGAAUCCAUGUUAUAGGUAAAUAAACAAAUAGUUGGUUA